rnacentral:rRNA from 1 species
AACGUAGGAUCCGAGCGUUAUCCGAAUUUACUGGGCGUAAAGCGCAUGCAGGCGGUUCGGUAAGUUGGAUGUGAAAUCUCCUGGCUCAACUGGGAGAGGUCGUUCAAUACUGUCGGACUAGAGGGUGGUAGAGGGAGGUGGAAUUCCCGGUGUAGUGGUGAAAUGCGUAGAUAUCGGGAGGAACACCUGUGGCGAAAGCGGCCUCCUGGACCAUUCCUGACGCUCAGAUGCGAAAGCUAGGGGAGCGAAC